UACGUAGGGUGCGAGCGUUGUCCGGAAUUACUGGGCGUAAAGAGCUCGUAGGUGGUUUGUCGCGUUGUUCGUGAAAACUCACAGCUCAACUGUGGGCGUGCGGGCGAUACGGGCAGACUUGAGUACUGCAGGGGAGACUGGAAUUCCUGGUGUAGCGGUGGAAUGCGCAGAUAUCAGGAGGAACACCGGUGGCGAAGGCGGGUCUCUGGACAGUUCCUGACGCUGAGGCACGAAGGUCAGGGGAGCAAACGGG
rnacentral:rRNA from 1 species